rnacentral:rRNA from 1 species
UACGGGGGGGGCAAGCGUUGUUCGGAAUUACUGGGCGUAAAGGGUUCGUAGGUGGCCGACUAAGUCAGACGUGAAAUCCCUCAGCUUAACUGGGGAACUGCGUCUGAUACUGACUGGCUUGAGGACAGGAGAGGAACGCGGAAUUCCAGGUGUAGCGGUGAAAUGCGUAGAUAUCUGGAGGAACACCGGUGGCGAAGGCGGCGUUCUGGACUGUUUCUGACACUGAGGAACGAAAGCCAGGGGAGCAAACGGG